AUUGAACGCUGGCGGCAUGCCUUACACAUGCAAGUCGAACGGCAGCACGGGAGCAAUCCUGGUGGCGAGUGGCGUACGGGUGAGUAAUAUAUCGGAACGUGCCCAGUCGUGGGGGAUAACGUAGCGAAAGCUACGCUAAUACCGCAUACGAUCUAUGGAUGAAAGCGGGGGAUCGCAAGACCUCGCGCGAUUGGAGCGGCCGAUAUCAGAUUAGGUAGUUGGUGAGGUAAAGGCUCACCAAGCCGACGAUCUGUAGCUGGUCUGAGAGGACGACCAGCCACACUGGGACUGAGACACGGCCCAGACUCCUACGGGAGGCAGCAGUGGGGAAUUUUGGACAAUGGGCGCAAGCCUGAUCCAGCAAUGCCGCGUGCAGGAUGAAGGCCUUCGGUU
rnacentral:rRNA from 1 species